AGCUAUUAGAAAUUCUUCACACAGUAAAAUGAUUAUAUUCACCUGGACAGAGAGUUGCAUUUUGGGGGGAAUAAAAACCAGGAUAUUCAUCUAAACAAUGCCAUUGUUUAAUGACUUGUAGAAGAACUUUCUUCUCCCUCCAUCAUAAUCACUUGCUCUGUCUGUUAAAGAAGCCCUCUUCUCUGCAUCUGCAAUUCUCCUCUGAAGCCCCACAUCAUCAUCAUCAUGAUCAUCAUGAUCACCAUCAUCACCCAGAUCAUCUGAUAGAAUGAUGUUAUGCCUCUGCUCCACACUUGCUUCUCCUCACCUCCACUUCAUGUUAAUGGACUACUUUGGAACAGAUGUAUGCUAGGUUCUCAAUAAAGAUAGUGGUAGUGAU